rnacentral:rRNA from 1 species
CUAAUACCCAAUGAUAUCUCUAGAAGGCAUCUGAAAGAGAUUAAAGAUUUAUCGGUGAUGGAUGGGGAUGCGUCUGAUUAGCUUGUUGGCGGGGUAACGGCCCACCAAGGCAACGAUCAGUAGGGGUUCUGAGAGGAAGGUCCCCCACAUUGGAACUGAGACACGGUCCAAACUCCUACGGGAGGCAGCAGUGAGGAAUAUUGGUCAAUGGACGAGAGUCUGAACCAGCCAAGUAGCGUGCAGGAUGACGGCCCUAUGGGUUGUAAACUGCUUUUAUAAGGGAAUAAAGUGAGUCUCGUGAGACUUUUUGCAUGUACCUUAUGAAUAAGGACCGGCUAAUUCCGUGCCAGCAGCCGCGGUAAUACGGAAGGUCCGGGCGUUAUCCGGAUUUAUUGGGUUUAAAGGGAGCGUAGGCCGGAGAUUAAGCGUGUUGUGAAAUGUAGAUGCUCAACAUCUGAACUGCAGCGCGAACUGGUUUCCUUGAGUACGCACAAAGUGGGCGGAAUUCGUGGUGUAGCGGUGAAAUGCUUAGAUAUCACGAAGAACUCCGAUUGCGAAGGCAGCUCACUGGAGCGCAACUGACGCUGAAGCUCGAAAGUGCGGGUAUCGAACAGGAUUAGAUACCCUGGUAGUCCGCACGGUAAAC